AGUUUUCUUCGGGGCCGGGUGAAAUUCCCAACCGACGGUGACAAGGCAACUUGAAGUCCGUGACCCGCUAGUCGACAGUGACCAGCGGUUGAACCAGUGCAAGUCUGGUACCGACAGUAUAGUCUGGAUGGGAGAAGAAAAAC
rfam:Lactobacillus panis DSM 6035 NODE_68, whole genome shotgun sequence.